rnacentral:rRNA from 1 species
UGAGAGGUAGAAUAGCCACAAUGGGACUGAGACACGGCCCAUACUCCUACGGGAGGCAGCAGUAGGGAAUUUUUCUCAAUGGGCGAAAGCCUGAAGGAGCAAUACCGCGUGAACGAUGAAGGUCUUUGGAUUGUAAAGUUCUUUUAUUAGGGACGAACGGUCACAGCAGGAAAUGGUUGUGAUUUGACUGUACCUUUUGAAUAAGUAACGGCAAACUUUGUGCCAGCAGCCGCGGUAAUACAAAGGUUACAAGCGUUAUCCGGAUUUACUGGGCGUAAAGCGAGCGCGGGCUGAUUAACAAGUCUGGUGUUAAAUACUGUUGCUUAACAAUAGUAUGCAUUGGAAACUGUUAAUCUAGAGUAUGAUAGGGAGUUCAAGAACUCCAUGUGGAGCGGUGGAAUGCGUAGAUAUAUGGAAGAAUACCAGUGGUGAAGACGUGAACUUAGGUCAAUACUGACGCUUAGGCUCGAAAGUGUGGGGAGCAAAUAGGAUUAGAUACCCUAGUAGUCCACACCGUAAA